rnacentral:rRNA from 1 species
UACGUAGGGGGGCAAGCGUUGUCCGGAUUUAUUGGGCGUAAAGAGCGUGUAGGCGGUUAUGCAGGUCCGCUGUGAAAACUGGAGGCUUAACCUCCAGACGUCGGUGGAAACCGUAUGACUAGAGUCCGGAAGAGGAGAGUGGAAUUCCUAGUGUAGCGGUGAAAUGCGCAGAUAUCAGGAAGAACACCCGUGGCGAAGGCGGCUCUCUGGACCGAGACUGACGCUGAGGCGCGAAAGCGUGGGGGAGCAAACAGG